CCUGCCUGGAUUGCACUGCACACGCGGGACAGACUCCAGGCGCCCCGGUCCCACGCGGUCCCUGGCCCCAGCACCUCUCCCCUCCCCAACUCACCAGUUUCAAAGGGCGCUCUGCAUGUACUGGGCCAGCCAAGACCCAGUCCGGAGUGGGGACAGGACACAGUUCCAGGCAGCAAUGAGCUGGACUCAGCUCAGUCCUGGGGAAGGCCUCUGUGUGCUCAGGAGGAAGUUAAAGGAGAUGGAGCAGAUAGAGCAAGAAAAAAGCACAGAAAGUGCGGAGGAGACUGAAGUCUUUUUUCCACGAAGGUUGAUUGGACUUGAUCCAUCAUUUUACGGAAAAUUAAUUAUUUCAAAUACAUGCACCACCUUAUGCAACCUGCCUGAUUUGCAUUGAGGAAAAUUCAGCAGAAGUAAUUGAGGCACAAGCAAAUACUGGCACUGACUGAACUCAAUUUUCAUUCCAAAUUUCUGCAAAAUCCCAAGGCACAACAAUAUCAGAUGCAAGGGGGAAAACAAACAAAAGCAAUGUGAAAAGGGAACAUGAAGAGAGAAUAUUACAAGAAUCCAAGAACAAAGGGACUGCAGAACUACUGAGAGCCCAGAGAGCGAGCUGGAGGACUGCGCAGGCAAGGUGGAGUGAGAUAUCAUAUGGCAUCCUGACAAUUGAUGUCUUCAUUUAAAUGUAAGAAUUUACAUUCUAAUUAGAAAGAAUUUACAUCUUAAUCAGAGGCAGCUGUAUUAUCUUGUUAGUGUUUUUUCAAAGGUAAUGAACUAAAGUACUGCUGUGCUUUUUCAACCAGAAACUAAACAGACAGCAUCCAGUGCUAUUUUAUAGCUUACCUGCUGUAAGCUGCUAUUAAUAUUUUCCAAGAUUAAAUUCUAACUAAGAUCUUUCAGAACUGAAAACUGUAUCUGACAUCGCUAGAAUAGUCCGAUGAGGAGUUUCUUAAACAAAUGCUUUCCUAACCUGUAUUUUCCAUGUACUUAUUUAUCAAGCUAACGGAAGCUUCUUGUGGUUUAUUAACAUAAUUCCGUUUUCCUUUGGAGGCUGUGGAAAUCUGCUAUAGCAGGUCUGCAUUCCAUCCCCACAAGACCUGGUCAUUCUCGAGCCUGGCUCUGGCUCUGGGGGAUCACUCACUGAACAGAGACUUCACCUCAGGAAGGGCACUAUGAUGGGUAACAAGGGAAGCUAACAUAUUUUAAAAGAGAACACUGGCUUGAAUUUUAUGUGAUGUUAUUAUUACUGCACUGUAAAAUCUAAAGAUAGGAAGCUUAAGGAGCAUACACCAUUUCGAGGGUACCUGGCUGUCAUGGUUAGUGACUUAAAGGCAGUAAUGCUUUCUGAGUCACACUGCUCCAGCCUAGGUUGUUCCUAAUGAUGGUAACGAGACUUAGGUGCUGGUGACUGGUGCUGCUGCUGUGGAACCAAGCCCAUCAUUCAUGAGAAUCAGUGUGAGCUCACUGACCCAUGGUCUAGAAGAAAUUGGGCUUGGCCUAGAAGAAAUCAAGCGGGAGAAGAUUACAAGUGUUAAUAAAAAUGUAAAAUGCCACCUUUGUCCCCAGCACUAUGCAUCUUUAGGUUAUUGAUACUUACUUUCAUCAGCUGUACCAUUAAUAUGGAGUUGUAGUGCACAAGAGUGGAUAAUUUGGAGGCACAUUAUUUAUCAUUGUGGAAUAUGAUGUUUUACAAAGCAAAAAGGGAAAGAAUAAAAAGACCAAAGAUACACCUGCCAGUUCAUUAAAUAAAUUACAAACUUGGUUAAUCCUUUCAAAAUAUCCAAACAAUAUAUGAAAGAGUCUAAAAUAUUUUUGAGGUACAUAUGUAGUCUUUAUUAUACUGACUUUCCGGAUCCAUAAAUAUAAAAGAAAAUCAGAUCUUGUGCACAUUGGCUUUGUUUCAAAAACAGAGCAAUUCCAGGUGACUAAAAGGGGAUAAAAUUAACAUUAAGGUGACCUUUUCCUACUCCAGGCCACUUGGAUGACAAAGCAAAGGAAGCUCAGUUCACUGGUGCCUUUUCUUGUAUUUCCCAUAAAGACCAUUUGUAGAAGAAGCAGUUCAGGUGGCUGUGAGUGAAAGCUGGCUGUCGGAGCACCAGCCCACCUGGGGCAGUCUGUCUGUCGGUCUCUUCUAUGUAUGAUGUGCCAAGAGAGCGCUCAGCAAUGCCCAAUACACUGGACCUUUGUUUUCAAAAGCGCUUGGUAUGUUUUUGAUUAUCUGUUGAUUUCAUGAAACCCGUCUGCUUUUGAGACAGAAUUUCUGAAAGCAAAGCUUGUUUUAUUUCUCCUAUCUAUGGCUGUUUCGAGUGCAACAGGGCAGACUUCCUGGCAGAGGUGGAGCAGCCUCCUGCCAUUGCCAGCUCGCAGCCCGGCUCACACUCACUGGGAUCACGCUCACUGGGACCCAGCUCACUGCGGCCAUAUGGGCUUGGACCGGAGGCCUCUCGCUGCAUCACUGCUCCGUCUCCUUAACAAACUCCAGCUCAUGCCCCUCCCAGCUGACUGCUGGGUGCUGGGGUCCAGGCACCCUGCAGGUUAGGCUCAGGCUGUGACCUGCAGGAUGCCUGGACCAUGGGCCCUCGCUUACCACCACCCUGCGAGCUCUGUUAGCCACAGGCACAGAGCCAUCACUGACCCAUCACUCCACCUGACCCAUCACUCUGUGGGUCUUGGCCUUCUCCUCUGUAAAAUGGGGAGAAGCUUGUUGCUUAGUGACCUUGUGCCUCCUGGGCGCAAGUAUGGUGGAUUUUACAGUUCUCAAGUUCCUCCCAGCCCUUUCUGCUCUCCUCAAUCACAACACCGAGGGUGUUCUUGCCUCUCUGUGUCCAGCCUUGCCCCCUCCCAGAGCUGCUCUGGUCACAGUGGCCUGUAGGGACCUCCUCCUCUUCCUCCUCCUCCUCAAUUGCUGUCCUCAACAAAUAUCUGGGGAGGGCACUAUGUGCUGCGGUGCAAAAACAGACAGGAGAAGCACGGCUCCGGCACUGCAGGGGCUUGCAAUGUGGUGAGAAGCUAGUGAUGAAGACCAAAGACAGUGUAGCCGGGCCAGCCUGUGGAGCGUGCCUGUGAAGACUGAUGCGGGGCAAUCAUGGAGGGCUCACUUCCUGUGGCACUCGAGGCACACAGCAAUACUCAGUAAUGUAACCAUUGGGAUCCUGAAUUGGUAUCUGACUCGUUCAAGUUAUGAGUCUUGCUUCCCAAACCACAUGGCAGAGCCACCACAAUGAAGGAGUGUGUUACGGUUGAGUCAUUUGUGUCAAUGGGGGAGGUCUAAAAGUUUAACUUAGUAAUGCAGCAGUUCUACGUCCUGUAGUGUACAGGACACUUACUGCUCCAGGAGAGUGGGGGCGCACCUCUAUUUACCCAUUCACCCUUCAAACAGGUUAGGAGCUUCUUGGACCCCAUUUUGCUCAAGAUGAGCAAGCAGGCCAAGAACUGGGACCAGAAUCAUUGGCCAACAGCUGGGAUCAGAACCUGCCCAAUGCAGCAAAGUGGCAAGGGCAGAGCUGGGACUAGGAGUGUAGGCACCAAGGUACGGCAGUCACCAUAAGCACCAUCGCGGAUCACACUGUGUGGGACUAGUGGCACCAGAGAGCAGUCAGCAGCAGUUCCCCACACCAGGCACUUAACAAGUAAGUGGUGAGUGAAGAGUACACAUGUGGACUUGGGGCUUUCAGAAGUCUUCACACUGUCCUGUUCUAGCACAAACUAGAUUUGUCUCUGGAGCUGUCUGGAAGUCACCUUGCUUAAAAGUAUUCAAAUCUAUGUCCUAGCAUUAUUUUUCCUGUCUCAUUCCCAACUCACAGCCAGCGGUAUGCAUAUGCUUUCCUGCCCAGGACACUGGGUUCUGGGGAAAAACCCAUGACACCAACCAUCCAUGAGGAGCUCACCUUCCUUCACUCAGAUGACUUCAACUCAAACACUAACAAUAUUCAAUAUCAUGGUCUACAGGCCAGACAGGCCUUACACAGCAGGAAGUGUAAUCAAAUCAACUAUCAAGGACCUCCCUUUGCAGAUGGAGUUCACCUUCAGGUAUUCAAAAAACUAAGAAGACGUGGAAGAAAAAUGGAGAAGAUAGGUCACAUCUUCAUUUCAAACAGAAUUAUGAAGGCAAAUAACACUGGGCUGGGUGUGGGCAGGGGACAGCGCCCUGAAGCACUGCUGCCCAGGGGCCAGGAUGCCCGCCAAGGACAGCAAGAGAGCCAGCUCCGAGAGGGGAAGCAGCGGCCACGGGCCAGGGCCCGAGCAGCCGGCUAGGGUGCUCCUGUGGGAUUCCCCCUGGGACUUGUAGACGUGCAGAGGAAUAAAUUCCAAGCCACCACAGGAAACCGCAGAGAGGUGCUUACAUACUAUUCACACAAUAGAGGGAAGUAAGAAGACACCAACUCUCCAGCUCUUCAAAUUCCUACCAUGGAAUGACAUGACCUUGUGUGACUCACAGGUACGUUAUACAACAAUGCUUUGUUACACACUAAUGACACAGAAGUAGCACUAAAAUUCCUAUAUUUAUCACACAGAAAUAUGAUUUGUAUAUGAAAGUUUAUUUACACGAAAGGUGACACACACACCUGGUAAAUGAAGCCUUUGAAUAACUGGUAUUCCCAGCAGUAUGUUAAGAAUAUUAGAUGGUAUUUCUACUAACAAGAACUAUAGGUACCAACUAUAUAUGGUAUCAAAUAUUAUAUAUGUAUAGAAAUAUUCUGAAAUUUUAACAUGUAGAAUGUCAAGUAUUUAUGAUGUUUAAGUAUCACAAGGAUUAAAUUUUUUUUGCUUUUAGAAAAAUUUAACAUUUUGAUUAUAAGUAGCCCACUUUUGCUUUGAAAAAAUAUUUCAAAAUAAAAUAUAUCUAUUAUUUUCUUUAUUAAGAGAGGUAAUAUAACUACAGUUGCAGAGAAUUUUUAAUCUCUCUUUUUUUUUUUUGUACAGGGGAUCAAACUCAUGACCUUGUACUUGUCAGGCAGGUGCUUAUGCCAUUGAGCUAAAUCCCCAGCCUAUGAGUUUUUAACCUUUGUAAUAUCAUUUAGAGAAACCACUAAAAUGUUCAAAAAGACUGCAGCUCCAUGUUCAAGGAUGUGCAAGAAUAGUUUUCAAACCUGUCUCAACCCAAAGCUUUUAGUGACAAUGCAAUGACAUAUACGGUCAUGGGGACUUUAAGAGUCUUAGUUUUUGGACACUAAAAUUGAUCUUUAAUUGCUUAAUGUCAUAUAUGAAAUCACAGCAAUGUUUCAUCACAGCUAAACUAGAAAUCAUUUCAGGAAGUGAAAACAGGAGUUUUUUGUCUUCUGUUGGAACCAAACAUGUAUUUUCUUUUAGUAAGAGAAGCUUUUUCAAUAAAAACCGCAGUGCAAGCUCAGGAAACUGUCAGUGACAGCGGCUGCUCCUGAGAGCACCAACACACACUCCAUCCCUGGCUCUUUCCACCACCCUCCACAUUCUGGGCCCUCGGUUUCAAACACCAAGACUUAUUUUAGGAGUGGGCACAUCAGUAUACCAGCUCUUCCUCAGAAAACACCCUGAUUGCUUUAAAAAUACAAUCAUGUGGAACAGUGGCACAGGUCACAGAAACGACGGAACCCCCGGUUGGCCAAGGUCCACGGAGGCCCAGGGUGCCUGGAAAGCCUCGAAAGGCUCCUUUCUUCCCAGCUGCUUUGCCUUUCAGUAACAUGGUGACAGUAAUGGCAUUACGCUAACUGCCUCACAUCCACUCCUACAUGAAAGAUAUAAGUAGACAAAUGACAUUAAAAAAAAAAACCUUCCAAUUCAUUCCAGUUUGGAGGAUACUGACCAACCCCUUGGAUCGCUUAUGUUUGCCACCACCAGCAGCCCUCCAGCAUGCGUCCACAGAGGCUGGCCUGAGCCUAGCAGGUCUCACAGGGGCUCCAGCCACCUGGCAGUCUCUGGGCAGUGGUGGCUGUCCAAUAGGGGGCAAUGCCUGGCUGGUGGUCACGUGCCUGGUGGUCUCGGCUCCCCUCACCUGGCUGCUACAGGGUUAGCCACUGGGGCAAGGCUUGAGAAGCCACGGGGUCCUGAGAGACCACAGGGUCACAGGGCCCUCCUAUGAAUGCGCCACGCUGGACUGUCAAAUGUCCCCAAGUCUUGUGUGUCGCGAGGGCUGCUGAAGGUGCCUGGGUCUGCGGCUGCCAUUAAUUAAUCCACUGUGGGUUUAUAGCUGGAGGUGCUGCCAGCAGCCUCCUUCCCCUUCCUCACCUCCCCACUUCCCCACCUCCCCACCUCCCCUGGAUGGCUCUGCUUGUUGUGAGCCUGGGAGCCAAACUGGUUGCAGGCUUAUGGUAUUUUGUCCCAGCCACUGAAAGCCAACCAACUACAUCAAAUGAACAGAGAAUGCAGGUUGUGACUACAAGCUGUUAUUAAGAGAGGCGGUGCCCCCCAGACAACCAAUCUGAAAGGAGUUGUGUUAACUCAUUGAAAAUGUCUUAAAAAAUGUGAGCAGCUAUCUGUUCUUAAGUGCUUCCCACGUAUUCAUUGGCCUAAGAGUUCUUUUGUAUGAGUAAGAUUCAGUUUCCUAAUAAAAGUAUUAAAACUA